UGGGUGGGUGGGUGCAUAUUAGUGCAUUGGGUAUUUCUGAAUCUCAUUGAGUGUUGUUGUCUUCACAGGCCACCACAAUAAGUGUACACGUUCAGACAUAUGGUUCAUGGAUGCUGCCUGCCAGACAGACUGCAUUGCCACCUGGACUACAGCCACACCAGUUAUCCUUGAAGACAUUGCUGCCCCAGCCAUGGAGUAAAUAUGGCUCUCCUCUACAAUGAAAAUUCAAACGAACAACCGGCCCUAUGACUACCUGCAGGAGGUGUACCUUUCUUCAAAAUUGCCAAGACCAAGAAGGGAUAGUGCAUCAACCAUCAAAAGAUUAAGCCAACCUUUUGGUUAUGUUCAUGUUCGUGGAACUCAUUCUGGACAAGGUCUUUGGGAACCCUGCAAAGCAGACUGAGGCAAUGUUGGCGUUGGUGCAGUUCACAGACGA